UGUAUUCACUACUGUAAGUCGCUCUGGAUAAGAGCGUCUGCUAAUGUCUAAAA
rfam:Salmo salar isolate Sally breed double haploid chromosome ssa07, whole genome shotgun sequence.